GGAGGGUGCUAGCGUUGUUCGGAAUCACUGGGCGUAAAGCGCGUGUAGGCGGUCCGUUAAGUCUGAUGUGAAAGCCCGGGGCUCACCCCCGGAAGUGCAUUGGAAACUGACGAACUCGAGUCCCGGAGAGGAGGGUGGAAUUCCUGGUGUAGCGGUGAAAUGCGUAGAUAUCAGGAGGAACACCGGUGGCGAAGGCGGCCCUCUGGACGGUGACUGACGCUGAGACGCGAAAGCGUGGGGAGCAAACAGGAUUAGAUACCCUGGUAGUCCACGCCGUAAACGAUGAGCACUAGGUGUCGCGGGUAUUGACCCCUGCGGUGCCGACGCUAACGCAUUAAGUGCUCCGCCUGGGGAAUACGGCCGCAAGGUUA
rnacentral:rRNA from 1 species